ACAAACUCAAGCGGACACUUUCUGGCGUCGAUGGAUUCGUGAAUACUUGCCGGAUUUGACUCGGCGUACAAAAUGGCAGAGUGAAACUCGACCGAUUUGCGUAGGAGACUUGGUGAUCAUUGUGGAUGAGGCUAGAAGAAAUGGUUGGGUCCGCGGACGUGUUAAUGAGGUAAUUCCAGGGCAAGAUGGGCGUGUAAGAAAGGCGAUUGUUCAAACUCAUAGGGGGCUCACUAGGCAAUCGGUCUCCAAGCUAGCUGUACUUGACGUUGGGGGUGAGGUCUCAAAGUUAGCUGUAUUUGAAGUUGCGACUAAGGGUAACCCGGGAUCAUCCUGACCAGUGUUACGGGGGGGAGGCUGUUGGCAACUGGGAGCACUGCCAACUUUGAAGCGGCGCGACAUUUUCGACGCCAAAUACUAAACUGCAGUUCAGCGGCCAGCCGCGACGCUUUCCCGUUUGACAGCUACGAGUUCCGGGAAAAAACUUACACCACCCAUUCAAGAAGAGUCAAACAGAUAGCUUUAUUUCUAUUCUUCGUGAUUAAAACUAUAUCUACCUAUUUAAACUACAAUUGAAAAAAACUACCUAACCUAAGCUAAAACUAUUGCCGAACCAAGUGCAGUGAAACAAACGAACGAUAACCAGACAGUGGCACGUAAACAGGUUUGUGAAUCCUGCCCUACACGAAAUGUUGUGUUGUGCUAACCUCAAUUUUUCUACGCAUCACUAGCUAGUUUUCAGUGAGACCUUUUCGGAUUCAUCCGGCCCAGUGUAGAGCAUAGUACUGUGCUAAACAACAACGUGUUCCAUCCAGCGCUUUCUAGCUCGACUAUUGUUCCGGCUCUUCCAGCCUAGUUCAUAGAACUUAGCCUUCUCAAGCCGCAUCCGAGUAACAGCUCGUGAAUCGUUUCGGCUCAUCCAGCCAAGUUUAUCGAACUUAGCCUUCUCAAGCCGCGUCCGAGUAACAGCUCGUGAAUAGUUCCGGCUCCUCCAGCCAAGUUCCGAGAACUUUGCUCUAUCAAGCCGUGUAACACUAUCAGGUUAGCAAUUCCCGCUGCAUGCAAAAACGGUUCAUGCUAACGCUUUCUUUCAUUAGCAGCCUUGGUCAGCUUUGCCUAGAAUCGUUCCGGUUGUAGGGAAAUCGACUCGAAACACUGAUUUUCUUGAAGCUGCUUUGCUAUCAAGACCGGUGUCUUUUUCCCCUCCUCCCCUACAUACAACUCGGAACA